GUGCUAGCUUUGGCAGCACAUAUUCUAAAAUUGGAAUGAUACGGAGAAGAUUAGCAUGGCCCCGGCGCAAGGAUGGCAUGCAAAUUCAUGAAACAUUCCAUAUUUUU